GUGGAGGAAUUUUUUUUUCUUCUCCUAAGAUCUAAAUCUAGUAGCAAAAGACAAAAGAAUAACAUCAAUUUCUUCUUCUAAAAAACAUUCCGGCAACUUUACCCAUUCUUCUCCACCUCAAAACAACUCUUCUUUUUUACAUAAAACAACCCAUCUAAUAUCUUCAACUAUCGCCCAACUCAGUCGAUUUUAAUCCUUCGAGGUUGUUGAUUCUAGUUCGAGUUUUCAGGUCUAUAACUCGACUGAAGAUCACUGUGUGUGGAGUUUCCCUUUCUCUGUAAUCGUUUGCAAUUUCGAGCAAUAAAGAUUUGAGGCGUCUGGAGGCCGAAUCCUGAGGAAAAUAUUUAUUUGAGAAGAUAAUUUGCAUGGUUUGAGAUCUAGGUACUUUCGAAUACGGCUACUGCUAGAUCUCCGGAGUUUUAUCUGUUGGAGACUAUUAAGGUCGCUGCCUUGGCGUCCCCAAACCUUGACUCUCUUUCCUUUCAGCUAUUUGUAUUGUUCUAAAUUUCUAGACAAUAUUUUUAUCAGU